rnacentral:rRNA from 1 species
UACGAAGGGGGCUAGCGUUGCUCGGAAUCACUGGGCGUAAAGCGCACGUAGGCGGAUUGCUAAGUCAGGGGUGAAAUCCUGGAGCUCAACUCCAGAACUGCCUUUGAUACUGGCGAUCUUGAGUUCGGGAGAGGUGAGUGGAACUGCGAGUGUAGAGGUGAAAUUCGUAGAUAUUCGCAAGAACACCAGUGGCGAAGGCGGCUCACUGGCCCGAUACUGACGCUGAGGUGCGAAAGCGUGGGGAGCAAACAGG